rnacentral:rRNA from 1 species
UCUACGGGGGGCUGCAGUGGGGAAUAUUGCACAAUGGGCGCAAGCCUGAUGCAGCCAUGCCGCGUGUGUGAAGAAGGCCUUCGGGUUGUAAAGCACUUUCAGCGGGGAGGAAGGCGUUAAGGUUAAUAACCUUGGCGAUUGACGUUACCCGCAGAAGAAGCACCGGCUAACUCCGUGCCAGCAGCCGCGGUAAUACGGAGGGUGCAAGCGUCAAUCGGAAUUACUGGGCGUAAAGCGCACGCAGGCGGUCUGUCAAGUCGGAUGUGAAAUCCCCGGGCUCAACCUGGGAACUGCAUUCGAAACUGGCAGGCUAGAGUCUUGUAGAGGGGGGUAGAAUUCCAGGUGUAGCGGUGAAAUGCGUAGAGAUCUGGAGGAAUACCGGUGGCGAAGGCGGCCCCCCGGACAAAGACUGACGCUCAGGUGCGAAAGCGUGGGGAGCAAACAGGAUUAGAUACCCUGGUAGUC